CAAGGUUCAUGUUUAUAGUAGUUUUAAAUCAGUUUUUGUUCAUUAUUUGAUUUUUCCUGAGGACCUUGAACGCCACGCCAUCCCAUAAUAGUUCAUCUGACAUCCCAUAAUAUUGUUUCUCAUGGGAGGGGUGCACGGACCCCACCUUUUAACCAAUCAUCUUUAUCAGAUCAGCACCUGUUCUUUUCAGUCGUCAGUCAGCCUUCUUCGAAGACACAAGCUGUGUCCCCAUCCUGGGUUUUUCUUUUCUACUUUUCCUCUCAUUUCAUAGUCAUGCGUCCAUGAGAAUAAACCAUGACUAAAGCCACAUGACUAAAGCUACAUGACUCAUAACUAAUAUGGAACCCUGGAACUUCCAAUAAAUGAGUGGCAUGAAUGUGAUCCGUCUCAUCAUUUGUUCUGGCCGGACAACCUGAGGAGACUGAGAAUUUAAAUCAGCACAUACGUUACAGUCUUCUGAGGUCACAAGUUUGGAGCUUUAUUCGCCAACACCUCUUUCACAAUCAGUGUAAGGGUAUGAGUGCAUGUGUUCACAUAGAAUAUAAUGGCACGUUGGUGUAUAUUGUAUCUGUUGAGUCCUUCUUUGGCCCUUAAAGCAAACUGUCUCAUUUGUGGCUUUUGCAAACAAACAGAUGUAAUAUCUGAGCUGCUGACUCCGCCACUAAUUGGCAACAGAGAGGCUGUCACUGAAAGGAAGAGGAUGACCGAAGCCAUGUCAUCUCAUUAGAAAGAGUAAGUGAGGGAAAAAAACUGCGUAAAGUAGGUGAGAGCUGAAUGAAAGCAAGAGACUAAAGUCACAAGUGUUUCCGGUGCUGGACUCUGCUUUGCAAACAAGAAAGCUGCAAUAUUCUGCAUAUAAGAGGCCUCUUAAAUGGUCUCAAAUGCAAAGAUUUGCACACUUCCAUGUCAAACACGAAUAUAAAUAAAAACAAAAAUGCAUUUGUGAUUCAGUCAAAAUUAUAAUAAAUGUUGAUUUUGAUUAGAUUUGUUCAUGCAGUUCCCCGCAAUAUACAGAACGUCCAAAUUAUUGACACUAUAACUUAUGUAAGAGCUGUCGUGAACAAAGCUGCAUCAUUAAUUUUAUUAUUUGAAAUAACAGUUUUAAAUGUUCUAUUUUUACAUUUAGUGGUUUAAUUACAAAGAACAACAAAAUCCAUUCUCCCUCUAUAGAAAUUUGCAAGAUAAAUGUCUGCCUUUGUGUGUGUGUGUCUGUCAUUGUAUCAUUAGGUUGAAACAUGGCUUGCGGCCCCCCUUUGAGGAAAGAAAGAAGGCAAAAGGGAGUGACAGGAGAAGGGAUGGAAGAUGACAGAAAGAGGAUGAUUAAAAAAAGAGGAGAAUAAAGGGAAGGGAAAACUGCAGUGGAUGACAGCCAGGGAGUCAUGCAGACAAGGUGCAGGAAAGAGAGGUGCAAAGAAGUUUAAAAUAGACUGGGAAACAAAAAAAAAACAAGAUUUGAGUGGCAAAAAAUAAAUGAAACACAAAUAGAAAAGGAAGGAAAGGUACAUUUAUGUUUUUAACCUUUUUCUUGCUUGAUAAUAGAAUUUGUUUAUUUUUGCUUUAAAUUUUAGAGGCCGUUUGAUUGUUUUAAAGAAUCCAAAAAAUAUUAGAUCAGUUUAAUAUUUUACACUAAACCACUUUUUUUAAACAUCUCUUUUUUUUAACAGAGUAGCCUUUAUAUAACAUAGCAGGCAAUGUUGUAUUCUCGAUAAAUUAUUGAGGAAUACAUGCAACACAAACCCAAACCACCUUCAGCUGUCAUUGAAGAUGAAGAAUAAAAAAAAAUAAAAAUAAAAAUCUAUGCAUGCUAGUUUAGCCAUUGUGUAUGCAAAAUAGAAACAUUUCCUGUUGUUAGUGUCAUUAUCUAUCACUGAUUUGAAGCCGAGAGGAUGAUGCUCUGUCAGUGGUCGCGGAGGGGUUGAUGAGUCACUGUCAUCUCUUUCACACACAGCAACACUCUACAUCUGUCAUGCUGAGAAAAAACAAGGAUAAAUAAAAACAAAGAAAUAAAAAAA